rnacentral:rRNA from 1 species
AUACGGAGGGUCCAAGCGUUAUCCGGAUUCAUUGGGUUUAAAGGGUCCGCAGGCGGGAAAAUAAGUCAGUGGUGAAAGCCUACAGCUCAACUGUAGAACUGCCACUGAAACUGUUUUUCUUGAGUAUAGAUGAAGUGGGCGGAAUAUAUCAUGUAGCGGUGAAAUGCAUAGAUAUGAUAUAGAACACCGAUUGCGAAGGCAGCUCACUAAACUAUUACUGACGCUCAGGGACGAAAGCGUGGGGAGCGAACAGGAUUAGAAACCCUAGUAGUCC